rnacentral:lncRNA from 1 species
UUCUUUUGCUGUGCAGAAGCUCUUUAGUUUAAUUAGAUCCCAUUUGUCAAUUUUGGCUUUUGUUGCCAUUGCUUUUGCCUCAUUUCAGAGAGAAGUCUGGUAUACGCUUGGAAACUUCUGUGUCUAUCAUCCCUAAGAACAUUACUGUUUAUUGAGAGUUUAAUAAACAUUAAUGUCCUUAGGGAUGAUAGACACAUAGAUUUCCAAGUGUAUAGCAGACUUCUCUCUAAAAUGAGGCUUGGGUUGUCCUCUUUCUGAUAAAUUCCCAGAUUUAACAGAAAAGCUGCCUUCUGCCAUGAGGACACAUUGAUAUGAAAGUGAGAGGUACUGGUACGCUUCUUCACGCUAACAGACCUGUGAGGAUGUAUGACUCUAAACCACACGGCCUACAGUUCCUGCCUGCUUAAUGUUUACUUUUCUACCUCUGUCCCUGGUUUUGGUCCCUGGAAGCUGCUGAUUCAUGGCAAAACCCCAGAGCUUGGAGUCAGAAGACUGAGUUUAAGUUCCAGUAUUGCCUUUUUCUUUCCUCCUUUUUUUUUUUCUAUCCAUGAUAUCAAUCCCUCUCAGUCACUAACUGAUUGUGACAACACCUUGUACAGUUGUUGGUGGCAUUAAACCAGAUGGUGUAUAAGAGUAUUUUGUCAAAACUGUAAAGGAGGAUGUGGCUAUAGGGGCUGAUUGUUCUCAUGAGUGUUACUACUCUUCUUUCCCACAGUUAAAAGAAUAUUGGCAGAGGAAGAGCCCUGGCAUUCCAGAAGGAGCUAACAGGAAAAAGAAAAUCAAUGGCAGUAGCCCUGACACAGCCACUUCUGGUGGUUACCACUCACCUGGGGAUUCAGCAACAGGUAUCUACGGGGAGGGCCGUGCAUCAUCUGCUACCCUGGAGGAUCUGGAGAGCCAGUACCAAGAACUAGCAGUGGCCCUGGAUUCAAGCUCCACAAUAAUCAGUCAACUCACUGAAAACAUCAAUUCACUGGUAAGAGUCCAGUGGGGUCCCCUGAUUCCAGCCUGUGAAUCCUGGACUCCAGUUUCCUCUUGGGGCCCUGAAGAAAGGGGCUAGGAGCCCCUGAUGCCAAGGGCAAAUGGGGAGCUGGGCACCCAGGUCUCACCUGGAGGGACCCCAGAGCACAGAACAUGCAGCAUGGCUCUUCUGCACUGCCCUCUUUGCUGACUCUCUCUUCUCCAGACACCCCUGCUCUAGUCCUUGCCACACAUGCCCUGGGGUUGUCACCUCUCAGGAAAGCACUAGCCUGACUGGUUUUCAGGGGCCCGUAUUUCUGCCCUGCCUCAGUCCCUAAUUUGCUUUUUGAGUCUGGACAAGCCAUCUCUCCUCCUUAGGCUCGUGUUUCUGGAGGAGGUAGAGAGUAUCAAAGGUCACUGUUAGCUCAGAGAUUUAAAGGCUCCUAGAAUGGAAACCUCAGGACCAAGGGCUCCUGUCUGUCCUUUGCUGUCUUAUAUCUCUGCUAUGAAGAACUGUACCUGGCCUGUACGUGCUCAGUAAAUGUUUGUUGAGUGAAUGCACCUUUCUCAAUCGUAAGCUGGCAGAAGGGGGGUGGGCCUUUCUCAAACUCUGUCUCUAGAGGUUCAGCAGCCCCUCUCUGCAGGGCCCUUUCCCCUCUGCUUUAGGCAGGUUCACACAUUGAAAGAGGAGAAGCAUGAGAUACAUCAGGUACAGAAGCUUGGGAGGAACUUGUUCAAACUCAAAAACCAGACGGGUAAGAUGGGGCUGCCAUGACCUAGGAGCAGGACUGGCAUCAGAGGGCUGUGAGGGUGACUUAGAAUGCCCCGGGGAGGUGGGUAGAUGGAAGGGCUUUGAGGCAGAGGGAAAGAGGUCUGUGCCAGGAGAUGGCAAGUCUUGUCAUCUCCAUGAGCCUCAGUGUCCCUCUCAGUAAAGAGGGAGGAGUGCCCGUUGUCAGCCACCCACAGUGCUAUCUGAAAGUGACUUGGAAGAUUGGCUACCAUCCGGGUGUGAGGAGUCAUUAGCAGUGAGGCCAAGUUUGGGAAGCCUGAGAGGAGGAGCUGUGCACCGAAGGGAGGAUUUUUUUUUUUUUUUUUUUUUUAUCCAGAGGCCCUUAUUGUCUGCUUCCUUUCUCAGCUGAACCCCUGGCCCCAGAGCCCCCAGCACGGCCCUCUAAGGUGGAGCAGCUCCAAGAUGAGACCAACCACCUAAGGAAGGAGCUGGAGAGUG